GGCAGUGUCCUCCAAGUGCUUCCGGGUCAUCUGGAGAAUCUGGCCGUACUGCUGAUUGGAUACAUUGACCAACCUGAUCGCCUCAUCUAAUUCUGUGUGCAGAGCAGGUACCUCAGGACAGUCUAGCAAAGAAGAAAGUAACGUGGAGAAGGAAAAAGUCCAUGAAACUUGGAGGAGGAGUCAUGAAGAAUUAUUAAUAACUAUCUUUUAGAAUAAGGACUUGAUAAGGGAUUCAUGAGACAAAUGAAGACAAUUCCAAGAGCUACUUUCCUGGACCUAUUCGCUUUCAACAGACUCAGG